CCCUUAGAUGUCCUGGGCUGCACGCGCGCUACACUGAUGUGUCCAGUAAGCACCUAACCUCUUCCGAAAGGAACGGGUAACCUUUGCAAAGCACAUCGUGAUGGGGAUAGAUUAUUGCAAUUAUUAGUCUUGAACGAGGAAUUCCUAGCAAGCACAAGUCAUCAGCUUGUGUUGAUUACGUCCCUGCCCUUUGUACACACCGCCCGUCGCUCCUACCGAUUGAAUGUUCCGGUGAGCUCUUCGGACUGCGCGGUCUGCAGUUUCUGCGUUCCGUGCGGAAAGUUGCGCAAACCUUAACAUUUAGAGGAAGGAGAAGUCGUAACA
rnacentral:rRNA from 1 species